UAAGAUGAUGAACAUGCACUGGGCUCUGAGCAGUUAUUUCAGCUGUUAAUUUGAUGGAAAUUGCGGCCUAGAAAGCUAUGUCUGAUAC
rnacentral:snoRNA from 1 species